rnacentral:rRNA from 1 species
UGGGGGAUUUUGCUCAAUGGGCGCAAGCCUGAUGCAGCGACGCCGCGUGAGGGAUGAAGGCCUUCGGGUUGUAAACCUCUUUCGCUGGGUUGAAAGGCCAUGCUUUGGGUGUGGUUGAUUUGAACUGGUAAAGAAGUACCGGCUAACUACGUGCCAGCAGCCGCGGUAAUACGUAGGGUACUAGCGUUGUCCGGAUUUAUUGGGCGUAAAGGGCUUGUAGGUGGUUUGUCGCGUCUGUCGUGAAAUCCUGUGGAUUAACCAUGGGCUUGCGGUGGGUACGGGCAGGCAUGAGUGCGGUAGGGGAGACUGGAAUUCCUGGUGUAGCGGUGGAAUGCGCGGAUAUCAGGAGGAACACCGGUGGCGAAGGCGGGUCUCUGGGCCGUUAAUGACACUGAGGGGCGGAAGCGUGGGGAACGAACAGG